rnacentral:rRNA from 1 species
CCUACGGGAGGCAGCAGUGAGGAAUAUUGGUCAAUGGACGAGAGUCUGAACCAGCCAAGUAGCGUGAAGGAUGACUGCCCUAUGGGUGGUAAACUUCUGUUAUACGGGAAUAAAAUGUUCCACGUGUGGGAUUUUGUAUGUACCAUAUGAAUAAGGAUCGGCUAACUCCGUGCCAGCAGCCGCGGUAAUACGGAGGAUCCGAGCGUUAUCCGGAUUUAGUGGGUUUAAAGGGAGCGUAGGUGGAUUGUUAAGUCAGUUGUGAAAGUUUGCGGCUCCACCGUAAAAUUGCAGUUGAAACUGGCAGUCUUGAGUACAGUCGCGGUGGUCGUACUUCGUGGUGUAGCGGU